rnacentral:rRNA from 1 species
UACGUAGGUGGCAAGCGUUGUCCGGAUUUAUUGGGCGUAAAGCGCGCGCAGGCGGUCCUUUAAGUCUGAUGUGAAAUCUUGCGGCUCAACCGCAGGCGGUCAUUGGAAACUGGGGGACUUGAGUGCAGAAGAGGAAAGCGGAAUUCCACGUGUAGCGGUGAAAUGCGUAGAGAUGUGGAGGAACACCAGUGGCGAAGGCGGCUUUCUGGUCUGUAACUGACGCUGAGGCGCGAAAGCGUGGGGAGCAAACAGG